AUUAUAGUUGCACAGGCACUUUGGUGACUCUAGAGAACCUCGGGCCAUUGCAUUCGAAUGUCUGCCCUAUUAACUUUUGAUGCCACUUUCUGUGCUUACCAUGAGUAACAGGGAAUCAGGGUUCGAUUCCGGAGAGGGAACCUGAGAAACAGCUACCAAAUCCAUGGAAGGCAGCAGGCGCACAAAUUACCCACUCCCAACGCGGGGAGGUAGUGACGAU